ACCCGCUCCGCCCCUUCCGGCGGCGCCUCGCACCGCGUCGGGGUGAGCGGGUGCAAGCGACGCCCCGGCAUAGCGGCACCAUUGGACACUUCCUGCGCUGCUUCAAUCGCCGGGAUUGCCUCUUUGACCUUGAACUAGUAUUCAUUUGGCCUCCUGUUGGGUCUCCAAUGCUCUCCUUCGUCAUCUCUGCUCGUAAGGCCUCACAUAUUUAUUACUGAAUCCAGCCAACCAACGUGUUCAUAACAGAUUCAGAGAGGAAAACACGUCGAAAUCUCCAGAUAGUGGUGACAUUUUCAGCUUGAUAUGGUAACAUGAUCGUGACCUUCAGACAGCAUAAAUAUGUGUGCCAUCUCAUGUGCAAUUCCUUAUAGACCCAGCUUGGUUCUUCUCCAAUGUCUCCUUUUGGAGUUGUACCUGAUUUUAUUUCCAGUUUUCAUCCGAAUCCACUGGGGAAUGGGACGAUUUUGCUUUUGUUUCUUGGCCAGGAAUCGCUUAAUCCUGAAAGUCUUGUGAGAAGACAUGGCGAGCAGCGGAGUCAAGAACACACCACGAUGGCGGAGAAAGGAAGAGGG
rnacentral:lncRNA from 1 species